rnacentral:rRNA from 1 species
CCCCUAAUAUAAAAAGAUACCGGAUACUACAAACCACAUUUAAAACUCAAAGACCUUGGCGGUGUCUUAUACUACCAGGGGAACCUGUCCCUUAAUUCGAUAAUCCACGAAUGCUUUAACCCCCCUCGAAAUUCAGCUUGUGUACUGCCGUCGCAAGUGUGCCUUUGAGAGUUAGCACACAACAAUAAACCUCCCUACGUCAGGUCAAAGUGCAGCCAAUGGGGGGCUGGAGAUGGGUUACAAACUCAAUAAAAGCUACCGAUCUUUAUUCAAAAAUAAAACCAAAGCUGGACUUGAAAGUAAUGAUUCAUACUACACUAUCAUGAAUUGGAAUCUAAGACAUGCACACAUCGCCCGUCACUCUCGCCGAAAGGUG